UGCAUUACUGAUAUAAGAUAUGAUAUAAACAGGGACAGAUUAUUAUGAUUUUAAUCAUCGCAAGUCAAAUAUAAUAACUUUUCUAUUGACAAAUCUAGUUUUCUGGAUAUAUUUUUUUUGAAAAAUAAACUCCAAUAUACAACCAUUAGUUUAUGGGUGAGUGUUUUUGUUUUCCUAAUUCAAGUCGGAUUGUGUACUGACACCUGUCAUUACCCUGAUGAUGGUUUAUGUGAUGAUGGUGGUGAUGGAUCUCAGUACAGUGUAUGUAACUAUGGCACAGAUUGUGCAGACUGUGGAAUAAGACCUAAUCCUCAAUGCAAUGACGAUUGUUAUUGGAAUGGUGAUGGCGAGUGUGACGACGGAGGUGCUGGGUCCUUGUACAGUGUAUGUGCAUAUGGUUCUGACUGUCUUGACUGUGGAAAAAGAACGGAUAUAGUUUGUGAAACUACUUGUGCGUACAACGACGAUGGCGAAUGUGAUGACGGUGGUGCAAACUCCCAAUAUAGUGUGUGUACCUUUGGAACAGACUGUAUGGACUGUGGAGUUAGAGUUGGGUCAGCAAAACGGUCAGCAAAAAGAUGGAAAAAGGGAAUGGAGGAGAAAAAGCGUGAUAAGAAAGGACAAAAAACACGUUAAAUGUCCAUAAUAUAAAAACAUGUUAAAGUAGUUUAGUUGGAAUAAGGGUAUAACCAUGCAUCAUAAAAAUACCAACGAAUAUAUAAUAUUGCUAUAAUUGAUUUCAAGAUACAACAGAUCACUCCCUGUGACUGACUGUAAGUAAAUGAGAAUGUUAUAGUUAAUAAAUUAUGGUCAAGUGUA